AGAAUGUAGCCUACAAUGUCCUAAACUGGCAGAGUAAAACCACAAGAAACGCUUCCUAGUCAAGAACCGCCGGGUUUGUUCUCCUUUUCGCGAACACUAGAAAGCCUUUCCACGUCUUCCUCAGUUUCGCUGAAAAUGCUCCUCUUUGUGGUUUGCCGAUUGAAACACAGGUGGUUGGAGGGAAGACACACCUAUCUCUCGUUCUUCUUCACUGCACUUCCUGCUCUGCAUCCAGCCGCAACAUUUUCACAGUCCUCAUAUUGAGUUAAAGCCAGGAACCUGACCAAACAAGGAGAAUGAGGGGAGAGAUACCAGGGUGGACAAACAUAGAUAUAACUUGUGAGGCAGGAGGAGGGCUGAGGGACAUGAACAGAGGUCGACAUGAAGAAUGGCCCAUAAAUCAUGUAUUACCUCCCAGCACUGUUAAUGAGGUGGUAGCUCUUAAAUAAUUAGCGAUGUGACUGAAGCAUAGUUCCAAAGCAGUAGCCCAAGGAUAAGGAGGAGGACAUCGGGGACGAACGGUGAAGGGAAUGUGGGACGAACCAUCCAGGGGGAGGGAGAAGGAAAAGAUAAGCAAAGUGAAUGUACAGUAUUUUGAGAGAGAGAGGUGAGCCAGAAAGAGAAUAAAUAGAGGAACAGAAA